rnacentral:lncRNA from 1 species
UCCUUGUUAACUGUUUGCGCAUUUGUCUGUGUUACUGUGUCUUUGUUAACUGUCAUAACUGUUUACGUAAGGAGAGGGAGAUUUCAAAUUUAUUGCAUAUCAGAAUGGCCAACCUUUGAUGUGGGAUGGCCCUGAGAAGGAACUUUCCACCUACCUAUUAUCUUACAGGUUAAGGCCGUGAUCUUCAGGGACAAACUGAACGGCCAUCCUGACCUGGUGCCCAACAUCCUGGCCUGGCAGGACAUGAUCCAGAAUUCCCCUCCUUGGCUAAAACCCUUUUUACCCCCCAAACUGCACAACUCGGCUGAAGGAAAGAUGGAGGCACCUCAAGAAGCUGGCUUCAGGGACUGCCUUGCAUUUGGGAAGAGACAACACACCUACACGACAUUAGCAAACUGCAGAAUCAAAAGCCAAAUCUCCCAGCAUUUGGAGAACAGUGAUGGAUUGCCCAACGCUAUGACACUUACAUGGGGAAGAUGUGUCUUACUUUCCAAAGAAACUUUAGCUUGCCACCUGCUCUAUACCUUCCUUUAGGAAACUAGAACUUGUCUGUUUGGUUAAUGAUUACAGAUUCAAAGGAAUUCAUUUUUUUUAAAAUUUUUAUUUAUUUAUGAUAGUUACACACACACAGAGAGAGGCAGAGACACAGGAAGAGGGAGAAGCAGGCUCCAUGCACCGGGAGCCCGACGUGGGAUUCGAUCCCGGGUCUCCAGGAUCGCGCCCUGGGCCAAAGGUAGGCGCCAAACCGCUGCGCCACCCAGGGAUCCCCCAAAGGAAUUCAUUUUUUAAAGUGAAAUUCAUGACUCAUUGUUUGAAUUAACACUCCUCCACCCCAGCCCACCCUCUGUUUUCUAUAUUGUUAAUGUUGAUAAAGAAGUCAUCACAUCUUAUUGAUUCUGUUCUCCUGGCUUCCUCUACAUCAGGAUAUAGCACAAAUGGGAGUCGUCAACUCAUUAGAGAUAGCCACUUUAAUAGUGACCUCAUCAAUCCAGUCUGUUUCCACAUUAGAGAUGCCAUGAGAAUUUCUGCUUCAGAGACUUCAUCUUUAUAGUUUUGCCAUUGUGCAUACACCCAGGUGAGAAGAGGUUUCUAAGCUAGUGAGACAGAACUAGAGAAGUUGACAUGUUAUUAUAGAAUAAAUAGGAAAAGCUCGGGGCA